GAAUACCUACUGGAAACGGUGAGUAAUACCGCAUACGCCCUUCGGGGGAAAGAUUUAUCGGAGAAGGAUCGGCCCGCGUUAGAUUAGAUAGUUGGUGGGGUAAUGGCCUACCAAGUCUACGAUCUAUAGCUGGUUUUAGAGGAUGAUCAGCAACACUGGGACUGAGACACGGCCCAGACUCCUACGGGAGGCAGCAGUGGGGAAUCUUAGACAAUGGGCGCAAGCCUGAUCUAGCCAUGCCGCGUGUGUGAUGAAGGCCUUAGGAUCGUAAAGCACUUUCGCCAGGGAUGAUAAUGACAGUACCUGGUAAAGAAACCCCGGCUAACUCCGUGCCAGCAGCCGCGGUAAUACGGAGGGGGUUAGCGUUGUUCGGAAUUACUGGGCGUAAAGCGUACGUAGGCGGAUCAGAAAGUUGGGGGUGAAAUCCCAGGGCUCAACCCUGGAACUGCCUCCAAAACUCCUGGUCUUGAGUUCGAGAGAGGUGAGUGGAAUUCCAAGUGUAGAGGUGAAAUUCGUAGAUAUUUGGAGGAACACCAGUGGCGAAGGCGGCUCACUGGCUCGAUACUGACGCUGAGGUACGAAAGUGUGGGGAGCCA
rnacentral:rRNA from 1 species